rnacentral:rRNA from 1 species
GAUGAACGCUGGCGGCGUGCCUAAUACAUGCAAGUCGAGCGAACAGAUAAGGAGCUUGCUCCUUUGACGUUAGCGGCGGACGGGUGAGUAACACGUGGGUAACCUACCUAUAAGACUGGGAUAAAUUCGGGAAACCGGAGCUAAUACCGGAUAACAUUUGGAACCGCAUGGUUCUAAAGUGAAAGAUGGUUUUGCUAUCACUUAUAGAUGGACCCGCGCCGUAUUAGCUAGUUGGUAAGGUAACGGCUUACCAAGGCAACGAUACGUAGCCGACCUGAGAGGGUGAUCGGCCACACUGGAACUGAGACACGGUCCAGACUCCUACGGGAGGCAGCAGUAGGGAAUCUUCCGCAAUGGGCGAAAGCCUGACGGAGCAACGCCGCGUGAGUGAUGAAGGGUUUCGGCUCGUAAAACUCUGUUAUUAGGGAAGAACAAAUGUGUAAGUAACUGUGCACGUCUUGACGGUACCUAAUCAGAAAGCCACGGCUAACUACGUG